UGUGACGCCAACCUCGCGCCCGUGCGAUCCGUGCGUCUCUCUGGAUUGGCGAAUCGACAGCCAAUAGAGUCAGCGGCCACGCUGUGAUAGGCUGCAUCCUUGUUGACGGAUGCGUGAGAAGAAAACGCCGCCUCAGCGCCGCGUCUGGAAUCGCGCGCGAAGCCGGGCAGCGACAAGUUAGUAUGGAAGCGCAUCUAAAAGGACGAACAUUCUCCAGCUAGUGUAGCUGAUAGUCACUUUUCCUCGUCGCGGCGAUGGAGUAUUUUUGAAACCGUAGUGUUUAUAAAGUGGGGUUGGAAAAACAAGAUCCUUCCCCUCUUGUUAUUACGCCUAUCAGCAACGUGCACAGUGCUGCGUCUGUUUCAGACAGCGCGGCAGUUUUCAGGCCGCUGCCUGGCCCCAAGGCUCGCCCACGGGUCCCCCGCCGACUGCUCUCUGGAGGUCUCAGGGAAGCAGUCAUACCUUCUCGUCUGAGGAGACGCGGCGGAGGCUCCCGAGAAACCGGCCGCUGACCUGCGAAAAGUUAAAGGGGACAAGGCGAGAGACGCUGCUGGCCCCGGACCAGAACUGUCCCCGUCACCCGCUCGGGCCCAAGCAAGAACUCCCUCUGGCCUGCUGCUCGCCAGCCCAGUGGCUCUGUUCGGGCGGGGCUUUGGGCCAAAGGCCCGCCGAGCGCUGCCGACCGCCCUCGGCUCUUUUCGAUUUCCGGGCGCUUCGAGCAGCCUCGGCAGCACGUCGCCAUCCUUCGGCUGUUUCCGCUUUUCUUACGCGGCGUUGUCCUGGCAACGCAGACGGCGCGGCGGCUCAGCCGGGGUUUCAACCCUGACCAGGUCUGUGAUUCAUCAUGGCUCUCUAUUUUGACCACCAAAUCAAAGCCCCGAAUUCUGUUGGAUCACCCUUCCACAUCAGUUGGCAUGCUGUUCACCCAUUCCUGGCAGUUGCUUCCAUGAGUGCAGCCUCAAGAGGCAGUGUGGAUAUCUAUCUGGAACAAGGUGAGCAUGUACCUGAAACACAUAUUGAAAGGUCCUUCCGAGUCACCUCUCUGUGCUGGCAUCCGACACGGCUGCUACUUGCUGUUGGCUGGGAGACCGGAGAAGUGAUAGUGUUCAAUAAGCAGGACAAGGAGCAGCACACCAUGCCCCCGACACACAUCACUGACAUCACCAUCCUCACUUGGAGCACCAAUGGUAGCUGCCUGGUGUCUGGGGACAGGCUCGGUGUCCUGCUCCUGUGGAGGUUGGACCAGCGGGGUCGGGUGCAGGGAACACCCCUGCUGAAGCACGAAUAUGAAAAGCACCUCACUCAUUGCAUCUUCCGACUUCCCCCUCCUGGCAAGGACCUGGUUCAAUUGGCAAGGGCAGCAGUCAAUGGCGAUGAGAAGGCCCUGGACAUGUUUAACUGGAAGAAAAGCAGCUUUGGAAGUUUCCUGAAGAUGGGAUCUCAAGAGGGGCUGUCAUUCUUCAUCAGUCUCAUGGAUGGGUCAGUCCACUAUGUGGAUGAGAAAGGCAAGACCACCUGUGUGGCAUCCACACACAGCUCCAUCCAGACACUGUUCUACAUUGAGAAGAGAGAGGCGCUGGUGGUGGUCACAGAGAACCUCCUGCUGUCCCUGUACAUGGUGAUGCCUGAGGGUAAAGCUGAGGAAGUGAUGAAGGUGGGUACGAGAGCAGGGUUUGGGCAACCCAGUACACCGCCAUUGUAAAGGGCUGGGGGCCAAGAUUCUCUUGCCUGCUUUGAAUGCCCUUUCUCUCUUAGUUAUUAAGACUGAAACAUCAUUAUGGUUCAAGAACUGCUCUUCAGUAUCAUUUCUGUAACUACAGGAC
rnacentral:lncRNA from 1 species